UGAGUUUUGAUACAUAUAAGAAGG
rnacentral:piRNA from 1 species